ACGGAGCAACGCCGCGUGCCGGAUGACGGCCUUCGGGUUGUGAACGGCUGUUGGAUGGGAGGAGGAUGACGGGACGAUGCGAAGAAGCCCCGGGUAACUCCGUGCCAGCAGCCGCGGGAAGACGGAGGGGGCAAGCGUUGUCCGGACUCACUGGGCGGAAAGGGUGGGCAGGGGGUGCCGUGCGUGGGCGCUGAAGGCGGCCGGCUUAACCGGGGGAGGUGCGGCGAUACGACGGCACUUGAGGCAGGUAGAGGUUGGCGGAAGUCCGGGUGUAGUGGUGAAAUGCGUAGAGAUCCGGAGGAACGUCUGUGGCGUAAGCGGCCAACUGGGCCUGUCCUGACGCUGAGGCACGAAAGCGUGGGGAGCGAACCGGAUUAGAUACCCGGGGAGGCCACGCCGUAAACGUUGUCGGCUCGGUGUGUGGUCUCAUUACGAGACUGCGUGCCCCAGCCCACGCGGUAAGCCGACCGCCUGGGGACUACGGCCGCAAGGCUAAAACUCAAAGGAAUUGACGGGGGCCCGCACAAGCAGCGGAGCGUGUGGUUUAAUUCGACGCAACGCGAAGAACCUUACCCAGAUUUGACAUGCGACUGCAAGCGCACGGAAACGUGUGACCUGCGAGGGUGUCGCACAGGUGCUGCAUGGCUGUCGUCAGCUCGUGUCGUGAGAUGUUGGGUUAAGUCCCGCAACGAGCGCAACCCCCGCCGUCAGUUAUACGUGUCUGGGCGGGACUGCCCGGCUGUUUGGGUCGGAGGAAGGCGGGGGGAUGACGUCAAGUCCGCAUGGCCCGUACGUCUGGGGGCGACACACACGCUACAAUGGCCCGG
rnacentral:rRNA from 1 species